AUUGAACGCUGGCGGCAUGCUUUACACAUGCAAGUCGAACGGUAACAGGUUAAGCUGACGAGUGGCGAACGGGUGAGUAAUGCAUCGGAACGUGCCCGGUCGUGGGGGAUAACGCAGCGAAAGCUGCGCUAAUACCGCAUACGAUCUGAGGAUGAAAGCGGGGGACCGUAAGGCCUCGCGCGAUCGGAGCGGCCGAUGUCAGAUUAGGUAGUUGGUGGGGUAAAGGCUCACCAAGCCAACGAUCUGUAGCUGGUCUGAGAGGACGACCAGCCACACUGGGACUGAGACACGGCCCAGACUCCUACGGGAGGCAGAAGUGGGGAAUUUUGGACAAUGGGCGAAAGCCUGAUUCAGCAAUGCCGCGUGCAGGAAGAAGGCCUUCGGGUUGUAAACUGCUUUUGUACGGAGCGAAAAGGUCUCCUCUAAUACAGGGGGCUCAUGACGGUACCGUAAGAAUAAGCACCGGCUAACUACGUGCCAGCAGCCGCCGUAA
rnacentral:rRNA from 1 species